rnacentral:lncRNA from 1 species
UUGGGGUUAUUCUGUUUUUAAUAUAUACUUGGUGGCUUGGAUUAUUGGUCUCUAAUAGUUCUGGUAUGCUGGUUGUUUUGCUAUAGUUUUUGAAGAAGGAAGUUGUUAUUUUGUUGGCUCUUUGCUGACUGGUGCGGCUGGCUUAUGUGGGGAUCUAGUGUAGAUUGCUUUUAUUUGUAGAUUAGUUGUGUGCGGAAGUGGCAUUGUCUUUGUGUUUUCGAAAUUUCUAGUCAGAUCUGGUGCUUGAAGAAUUCUGUUAUGAGUGUUCCUGUGGAGGAGUAUUUUUAAUUCUUGGCAGGGAGUUUUUGGUUGCUUUAGAGGUCUGGUAUGGAAGUUAUUCUCAUUCUUGCUAUGGCUGGGUUGUUCUGGGUCUCGUGUUCUUGUUGCUGCUGUGAUUGAGUUCUGCAAAUCGAGAUAUUUUUGGCUGAUUUUAGGAGAAUUUUUAUUUUUAGUCAUAUUGAUUAUUUGUUUGUUGUGGCAGUUGCAGUUUCGACAAGUCCAGGGGCGUUGUUGCUUGGGUGUUUCUAGUUUUGUGUAUUUUCUGCAUGUUGUGUUUUUUCAGUGGAGUUGGCCGUGGGUUUCGGGUAGAAUGCUAGUGUGCAUCCAGAGUGUUUUAGUGAAUUGUUUUGUGGCACUCGGCUUGUUUUCAGUUCUUUAUUGUUGGGAUGGUGUAUGUUCUGCAGGUUGGAGUUUUAUUGUUUUCUCUGGGAAGACUUGCCUGCUGUGCUUGGUAGUCGUUUAUUUAAAUUAUUUCAGCUGCUUUUGUCUCCUCUGGGAGUCUAAUGUUGAGGGUUUUAAUGUUAAUCAAUUCUUCUGCUCCAUUUUAUGCUUCCGAGGCUGCUGCUAUUUUAUUGAUUGGGGUUCAGGAGUUGGUGUUUUAUUUGUAAAUCAAUGUAUCUGGUUCAUAAUUUAGGUGGUAGCUCCCUUGAUUGAUUUAGAGGUGGAGCAGCUGUGUGGGAGGUCUAGCACUCAUAAUCAGUGGAGUGAUUGCUUUUUAUCUAUCUGGAGGUGUUCGCUUGUGUUCAUCUGGUUGGCUUUUUUUUUUCUUUUCUCCGUUGGAGGCUUUGUAUUUUC